rnacentral:misc_RNA from 1 species
UCCUGGUUAACCCAGGCAGUCUCAUUAGAGUUCCCACCUUUACGUGUUGGCAACUAAUGAUAAGGGUUGCGCUCGUUGCGGGACUUAACCCAACACCUCACGGCACGAGCUGACGACAGCCAUGCAGCACCUGUGCAAAAGUCCCGAAGGAAGAUCCCAUUUCUGAGACUGUCUUUUGCAUGUCAAGUCUGGGUAAGGUUCUUCGCGUUGCAUCGAAUUAAACCACAUGCUCCACUGCUUGUGCGGGUCCCCGUCAAUUCUUUUGAGUUUCAGCCUUGCGACUGUACUCCCCAGGCGGUAUACUUAACGCGUUAGCUUCGGCACAAUUGGGGUUGAGUCCAAUUACACCAAGUAUACAUCGUUUACAGCAAGGACUAC